AGAGUUUGAUCCUGGCUCAGGAUGAACGCUAGCGGCAGGCUUAACACAUGCAAGUCGAGGGGUAACGGGGAAGCUUGCUUCCGCCGACGACCGGCGCACGGGUGCGUAACGCGUAUACAAUCUACCUUAUACUGGGGUAUAGCCUUUAGAAAUGAAGAUUAACCCCCCAUAGUCUCUUAGAGUGGCAUCACUUCUAGAGUAAAGGUUACGGUAUAAGAUGAGUAUGCGUUCUAUUAGUUUGUUGGUGUGGUAACGGCACACCAAGACUACGAUAGAUAGGGGCCCUGAGAGGGGGAUCCCCCACACUGGUACUGAGACACGGACCAGACUCCUACGGGAGGCAGCAGUGAGGAAUAUUGGACAAUGGAGGCAACUCUGAUCCAGCCAUGCCGCGUGCAGGAAGACUGCCCUAUGGGUUGUAAACUGCUUUUAUACAGGAAGAAACACCUCUACGUGUAGAGGCUUGACGGUACUGUAAGAAUAAGGAUCGGCUAACUCCGUGCCAGCAGCCGCGGUAAUACGGAGGAUCCAAGCGUUAUCCGGAAUCAUUGGGUUUAAAGGGUCCGUAGGUGGAUAAUUAAGUCAGAGGUGAAAUCUUGCAGCUCAACUGUAAAAUUGCCUUUGAAACUGGUUAUCUUGAGUUAUUAUGAAGUAGUUAGAAUAUGUAGUGUAGCGGUGAAAUGCAUAGAUAUUACAUAGAAUACCAAUUGCGAAGGCAGAUUACUAAUAAUCAACUGACACUGAUGGACGAAAGCGUGGGUAGCGAACAGGAUUAGAUACCCUGGUAGUCCACGCCGUAAACGAUGGUUACUAGCUGUUUGGACUUCGGUCUGAGUGGCUAAGCGAAAGUGAUAAGUAACCCACCUGGGGAGUACGUUCGCAAGAAUGAAACUCAAAGGAAUUGACGGGGGCCCGCACAAGCGGUGGAGCAUGUGGUUUAAUUCGAUGAUACGCGAGGAACCUUACCAGGGCUUAAAUGUAAGUUGCAUUAGUUAGAGAUAGCUAUUUCUUCGGACCACUUACAAGGUGCUGCAUGGUUGUCGUCAGCUCGUGCCGUGAGGUGUCAGGUUAAGUCCUAUAACGAGCGCAACCCCUGUUGUUAGUUGCCAGCGAGUCAUGUCGGGAACUCUAGCAAGACUGCCAGUGCAAACUGUGAGGAAGGUGGGGAUGACGUCAAAUCAUCACGGCCCUUACGUCCUGGGCUACACACGUGCUACAAUGGUAGGUACAGAGAGCAGCCACUGCGCGAGCAGGAGCGAAUCUAUAAAACCUAUCACAGUUCGGAUCGGAGUCUGCAACUCGACUCCGUGAAGCUGGAAUCGCUAGUAAUCGGAUAUCAGCCAUGAUCCGGUGAAUACGUUCCCGGGCCUUGUACACACCGCCCGUCAGGCCAUGGAAGUUGGAAGUGCCUGAAGUCCGUCACCGUAAGGAGCGGCCUAGGGUAAAGUCGAUAACUAGGGCUAAGUCGUAACAAGGUA
rnacentral:rRNA from 1 species